CAUACACACAGGGAGGACACCAUGGAAGGACAGAGCAGAGAUAUAAAUGAUACAGCUGCAAGCCAAGGAGCACCCACGAUUGCCGGCUACCAGCAGAAACUAGGGUGGUCAGUCUAUGGGAAUAAAGUCAUGGAAAAUACCCUCUAUUUUCCCUUAAUGUGCAAAUAUUCGUGGAAGAGAAAUACAGCAAAGAGAAAAGGCUAUUACAGAAAGAACCAUAAUAGACGUGAGGAGAGCACGCAGAGAGGAUAAACAACACUGCCCAAAGAUUUGCAAAGACGUGUUCUUGCAGGAAGACUGAAGGUUCGCCAGAAGGCAAUAAGGAGUUCAAUGGGGAUGAGCAAAGAUACAGACAAGAAGGAAAAGGACAUUGGACGAGUGCUGGAAUAUAAAGACCAUUGCAGAAUAAAAACAACGUUACCAGAAGAAGCAAGCUAAGGUGGAAAGUGUUCAAGAAGGGCAAGGAUAUGCUGCCAUAUUUUAUGUCUCAUCCUGGAAGGAGGUGUUGUAAAAAGAACAAGACUGGGCUCAAUAUUGACUGGACAUCCUAGACUUCACGUGUGGCUUUAUGGGAUGUAGCCCUGUUGGUAUGAUCGUCUUGCUGUCGCCACUUGGUAUCCAAAGUCAAGGUCCCUCACUAAGUAAGGCUGGAUUUUUACUUUAUGUACGCGAAUCAUCUGACUGUACCAUCCUGUGAAAAGGUUAAUCCCGGGAAAGAAAAUGAAGACUCACUUUUUGUACCUUUAACCAAAGUGUAGUCUGGGAUUGAACUUGAACCUGAAAACAAGCAUGACCUAACAUGAUUAUUAUGAGGAAUUGCCUGUGAUGUGCUUUCCUUCUUUCUUCCCCCAUCUUGGCUGUGCUCUGUUGGAACAGUGGAACUUUCUCCUCCAUACUUGGGAAGGUGAAGAAGAGAAUCCCGUUCUGGAGCCUAGAGCAGUGGUGGAGGCCUUGUCAUCUAUAGAAGACAAGUCUGUCGGGCAACAAGGUGAUCCCACAGCAGUGAGAAAUGUGGCGACAAAGCUGCACUUUAUCUUGGCACUGUCACCCUAUAAAACAGCUGCGGCUAAGAAACCUCCCACCCAUUCUUUGGUGUUCUGGGAAACAGCCUGCCGCAAAGUAACAUCCUUCUCCAAAUGACCUAAGUAAGACUCGCAGACGCUCCCUUGUUUAUAUAUGUGGUGAGAUGGAAGUAAGCCCCAAGUGGAAAAAUAUGUGGGACUCCAUUCUGAACACACGUUCAGAUGAGUUAGCAUCCUGGAGAAGCAUCAGAAAGAACAAGAGAAAAGUAUAAAGAAGGACAAUUAGGAAUUACAUAUUGGUUCCCAUUCCUUUCCUUCCCAUGAAUCAUCCAGGUUUGCCAAGCUUGGCAAGGCCAGGGCCAAAGAGGCAGCCAGGGCUACUGAGGCACACAAGACCCAGGCCAAGAAGGUGACUGAGACUAAAGGAGUGACCAGAACUUGUGGGGCUUGGGCAGAGGAGGCAGCCAAAGGGGUCAAUAUAUUGAUUAUAAAAGAGAGAAAUGAGCAAAUAAGAAAAUAGGAACCAUGUUUCUCAUUGGGAAAGGGAGUUCAAAUGACACAGCUAGAAUAAUUCCUGUGAUUUGGGGAUUUGAAUUAGAGGUAUGGAUGAAUUUAUACCAACUAACAGAAGUAAUGGACUUAAGUACAAUUUGGAAAUAAGGAAUAUGUUGCCAAGAGAACCCCCACAUGCCAAAAAGACACUGGGUGCUGGAAAGGUCAAUAACUUCUUUGGGGGGCA